AACCAUGGUUAAGUGUUAGAAUGAAUGCUUGUUGGGUUAGCAUCAAUAAGGUACCACCCCACCUGAGAGGUCAGGAAGGGCUUUGCUGGGGAGGGAGCAUUUGACCUGAGAUCUGAACCUGAAUCUGAGAGCUGGGUGCCCAUUGACUUUGCCUGGAAGGUGCCCCCCAAUGCCCUCCCUGUCUUCCAUUGCUCUCUCUCAAGAACCUGUUUAUUUCUGUGUUGUCCUUACUCACAAUUAUCUGGAUUUAUUGCCUUGUUUAUUGUGUGUUCCCCCCCAGAAUAGCAGCCCUUUGAGAACAGGAGCUCCCUCCAUCCUGGUCACCCCUGCAUCCCCGUGGCCUGACAAAGCCUGACAGAGCCUGACGAGCACACAGUGGCUGGAGGAUCCAGGGCAUCCCAGAGAAGGCAGCCCCUUUGACAAUGAUAGUCCUCACUGUGGAGCCAGGACGCGACUCUCGUGUGGAAAGUCCACGAUGGACCAGCCCGGUGUGAGCGCUCUUCUGACCACAGCGGCUCAUGCAAAGAGGCUCCAGUGAGGAGACCAGGGUCAAUACGCUGACCCCAAACCCAGGGUGAAAAGGCCAGAGAGCAAAUCAGACUCGC